GGGUGAUUGCCGGAGCGGCCAAACGGGGCUGACUGUAAAUCAGCUGACUAUGUCUACCCUGGUUCGAAUCCAGGAUUGCCCA
rnacentral:tRNA from 2 species